rnacentral:tRNA from 1 species
GGCAGUGUGGCGCAGUGGUUAGCCUACCUAACCGGUAAUUGGGAGACCCGGAGUUCAAAUUCCGGCGCAGCCA